GCUCAUUAAAACCAAAAUAAUGAGCCUAGCAAGUCCUGAGUUCUAUCAAAGCAAAGAGGCCUUGUCAGCCAAGAGAUUAAAAGGUGAAAGGCAGGUUAUGUCAAUAAAACCUCUUGUUCUCAAGCCUCGGUGAUUAGAAAAGGAUGAGAUCAGCGAUCCCCGAGCAUAUCAAUUGUGCCCUAAAAUUUGUGAGCCAUGGGGCUAGGGUUUACUAGAGCGGAGGAAUCCAUGCAUAGGGGAUGCACAGAUUGGGUCAAUGAAGGCUUCGAAACUUGAAGCGAAUUCUAUUGGCAGGCGCAUUGCCAAAAUUCCACAACGUUUCCCAGCGUGCUUUAUGUAUAUGCCAAUAUGAAAGGAGCUCCGGAGCAGGUUAUUCGCCAUUAUCAAGGCACAAAUGGCAGGAAUGCUCAGAAACUAUUGUUUAGUUGUAGCAAUUGGCAAAUACACCACAAAGAAUCUCAUGAGAACAUGAUGGUGAUCUCAUCAUGAAGAGUGCUUGCACGAGAAAGACUAAAGGGGAAUAUUUUUCAAUUACAAACAAAGUUAAAAGGUACAACAAGGCGAUUAUCUUCAUCAAAUAAGGAGUACAUUCGCGGGAAAAUCAUUUUCAGUGGAAAAUAACGAAAGUGGAGGAAAAUUUUCAAUUAGACAAUUUAAAAAGUGCAGAUCAAGGCAGAGGGUAGGGAAUUUUUUUGUGUUGCAGAGAGAUGAAAGAAGGUACGAGGUGACUUAGAAAAUCAGAUUUGGAGAAGGGACAUGUGGCAAAGUUGGAUCUAAUCUUGAAGCUUUUGCUCUUUUUAUUUAUUCUCCAUUCUUCUUAUUUA